rnacentral:rRNA from 1 species
UCGGAUCGCGGCGACGCCGGCGGUUCGCCGCCGUUGUUGUUGUGAGAAGUUCAUUAAACCUUAUCAUUUAGAGGAAGGAGAAGUCGUAACAAGGUUUCCGUAGGUGAACCUGCGGAAGGAUCAUUG